GAUGAACGCUGGCGGCGUGCUUACCACAUGCAAGUCGAACGGUGAAGCAGGAGCUUGCUCUUGUGGAUCAGUGGAGAAGGGGUGAGAACCACGUGAGCAACCUGCCCCUGAACCUGGGAGAAGCGCUGGAAACGGCGAUUAACACCGGAUCUGUGAUGUGACCGAAUGGUCUGCAUAUGGAAAGAACUUCGGUUGGGGAUGGGCUCGCGGCCUAUCAGCUUGUUGGUGUGGUAAUAGAUCACCAAGGCGUCGACGGGUAGCCGGCAUGAGAGGAAAACCAGCCACACUGGAACUGAGACACGGCCCAGACUCCUACGGGAGGCAGCAGUGGGGAAUAUCGCACAAUGGGCGGAAGCCUGAUGCAGCAACGCCGCGUUAGGGAUGACGGCCUUCGGGUUGUAAACCUCUUUUAGCAGGGAAUAAGCGUAAGUGACGGUACCUGCAGAAAAAGCACCGGCUAACUACGUGCCAUCCGCCGCAGUAA
rnacentral:rRNA from 1 species